CAGCUACUCCCUCCGUUUCAAAUUACUUAUCGCAGAAAUGGAUGUAUUUAGAACUAAAAUACAUCUAGAUACAUCCAUACUUGCGACUUGCGACAAGUAAUUCGGAACGGAUGGAGUAGUAA
rfam:Triticum aestivum genome assembly, contig: Triticum_aestivum_CS42_TGACv1_scaffold_093757_2AL